rnacentral:rRNA from 1 species
CCCUUAGAUGUUCUGGGCCGCACACGCGCUACACUGAUGCAUUCAACGAGUCUAAAACCUGGUCUGAUAGGGCUGGGUAAUCUUUUGAAUGUGCAUCGUGAUUGGGAUAGAUGAUUGCAAUUCUUCAUCUUCAACGAGGAAUGCCUAGUAAACGCAAGUCAUCAGCUUGCAUUGAUUACGUCCCUGCCCUUUGUACACACCGCCCGUCGCUCCUACCGAUUGAAUGUUCCGAUGAAUACCAUGGACUGAGAGUAUGAAUGGGUUCGCCUAUUUCUGCUUCUCGGGAAGUGGAGUAAAUCUUAACAUUUAGAGGAAGGAGAAGUCGUAACA